UACAGAGGUCUCAAGCGUUGUUCGGAUUCAUUGGGCGUAAAGGGCGCGUAGGCGGCAUGACAAGUCACUUGUGAAAUCUCUGGGCUUAACCCAGAACGGCCAAGUGAUACUGUCGCGCUAGAGUGCGGAAGGGGCAAUCGGAAUUCUCGGUGUAGCGGUGAAAUGCGUAGAUAUCGAGAGGAACACCUGGAGGUGAAGACGGGUUGCUGGGCCGACACUGACGCUGGAGUGCGGCGAAAGCCAGGGGAGCAAACGGG
rnacentral:rRNA from 1 species